rnacentral:pre_miRNA from 1 species
UAUAUACUCCCUUCGUCCAGAAAUACUUGUCGGAAAAAUAAGUAUAUCUAGACGUAUUUUAGUUCUAGAUAUUUUUAUUUUUAUUAUUUUUUUGACAAGUAUUUUCGGAUGAAGGAGUAUUUA